rnacentral:rRNA from 1 species
GACGAACGCUGGCGGCGUGCCUAAUACAUGCAAGUUGAGCGAUGAAGAUUGGUGCUUGCACCAAUUUGAAGAGCAGCGAACGGGUGACUAACGCGCGGGGACUCUGCCUUUGAGCGGGGGACCACAUUUGGAAACGAAUGCUAAUAUCACAUAACAACUUUAAACAUAAGUCUUAAGUUUGAAAGAUGCAAUUGCACCACUCAAAGAUGAUUCCGCGUUGUGUUAGCUAGUUGGUGAGGUAAAGGCUCACCAAGGCGACGAUACAUAGCCGGCCUGAGAGGGUGGACAGCCACAUUGGGACUGAGACACGGCCCAAAACCCUACGGGAAGCAGCAGUAGGGAAACUUCGGAAAUGGAGGGAAGUCUGACCGCGCAACGCCGCGGGGGGGAAGAAGGUUUUCGGAUCGUAAAACUCUGUUGGUAGAGAAGAACGUUGGUGUGAGUGGAAAGCUCAUCAAGUGACGGUAACGAACCAGAAAGGGACGGCUAACUACGUG